rnacentral:rRNA from 1 species
GUGCCAGCCGCCGCGGUAAUACGGAGGGUGCAAGCGUUAAUCGGAAUUACUGGGCGUAAAGCGUGUGUAGGUGGUUCGUUAAGUCGGAUGUGAAAGCCCCGGGCUCAACCUGGGAACUGCAUUCGAUACUGACGGACUAGAGUUUAGCAGAGGAAAGCGGAAUUCCGGGUGUAGCGGUGAAAUGCGUAGAUAUCCGGAGGAACACCAGUGGCGAAGGCGGCUUUCUGGGUUAAGAAUGACACUGAGGCACGAAAUCGUGGGUAGCAAACAGGAUUAGAUACCCUGGUAGUCCACGGCCUAAACGAUGUCGACUGGCUGUCUGGUUCAUUUGGAACUUGGUAGCGAAGCUAACGCGUGAAGUCGACCGCCUGGGGAGUACGGCCGCAAGGUUGAAACUUAAAGGAAUUGGCGGGG